rnacentral:rRNA from 1 species
GAUGAACGCUGGCGGCGUGCCUAAUACAUGCAAGUCGAGCGAACAGAUGAGGAGCUUGCUCCUCUGACGUUAGCGGCGGACGGGUGAGUAACACGUGGAUAACCUACCUAUAAGACUGUGAUAACUUCGGGAAACCGGAGCUAAUACCGGAUAAUAUAUUGAACCGCAUGGUUCAAUAGUGAAAGACGGUUUUGCUGUCACUUAUAGAUGGAUCCGCGCCGCAUUAGCUAGUUGGUAAGGUAACGGCUUACCAAGGCAACGAUGCGUAGCCGACCUGAGAGGGUGAUCGGCCACACUGUAACUGAGACACGGUCCAGACUCCUACGGGAGGCAGCAGUAGGGAAUCUUCCGCAAUGGGCGAAAGCCUGACGGAGCAACGCCGCGUGAGUGAUGAAGGUCUUCGGAUCGUAAAACUCUGUUAUUAGGGAAGAACAAAUGUGUAAGUAACUAUGCACGUCUUGACGGUACCUAAUCAGAAAGCCACGGCUAACUACGUG